ensembl:lncRNA
ACCCGCCGUACCAGCAGGUAAUACCAGUGACUCAAACGACAGAGCUACGACCAGCCGUACCAGCAGGUAAUACCAGUGACUCAAACGACAGAGCUACGACCCGCCGUACCAGCAGGUAAUACCAGUGACUCAAACGACAGAGCCACGACCUACCGUACCAGCAGGUAAUACCAGUGACUCAAACAACAGAGCUACGACCAGCUGUACCAGCAGGUAAUACCAGUGACUCAAACGACAGAGCUACGAUCGGUUGUAGCAGCAGGUAAUACCAGUGACUCAAACGACAGAGCCACGACCAGCCGUACCAGCAGGUAAUACCAGUGACUCAAACCACAGAGCCACGACCUGCCGUACCAGCAGGUAAUACCAGUGACUCAAACCACAGCGCCACGACCAGCCGUACCAGCAGGUAAUACCAGUGACUCAAACGACAGAGCUACGACCGGUUGUAUCAGCAGGUAAUACUAAUGAUUAGGGCC